CCUACGGGAGGCAGCAGUGGGGAAUAUUGGACAAUGGGCGAAAGCCUGAUCCAGCAAUGCCGCGUGAGUGAUGAAGGCCUUCGGGUCGUAAAGCUCUUUUACCAGGGAUGAUAAUGACAGUACCUGGAGAAUAAGCUCCGGCUAACUCCGUGCCAGCAGCCGCGGUAAUACGGAGGGAGCUAGCGUUGUUCGGAAUUACUGGGCGUAAAGAGUACGUAGGCGGUUAUUCAAGUCAGAGGUGAAAGCCCCGGGGCUCAACCCCGGAACUGCCUUUGAAACUAGAUAACUAGAGUCUUGGAGAGGUUAGUGGAAUUCCGAGUGUAGAGGUGAAAUUCGUAGAUAUUCGGAAGAACACCAG
rnacentral:rRNA from 1 species